rnacentral:rRNA from 1 species
CUACGGGGUGCAGCAGUGGGGAAUAUUGGACAAUGGGGGAAACCCUGAUCCAGCAAUGCCGCGUGUGUGAAGAAGGCCUGCGGGUUGUAAAGCACUUUCGGUUGGGAGGACUGCUUCUAGCACUAAUAUUGUUGGAAGUUGACGUUACCUUCAGAAGAAGCACCGGCGAACUCCGUGCCAGCAGCCGCGGUAAUACGGAGGGUGCAAGCGGUAAUCGGAAUUACUGGGCGUAAAGCGCGCGUAGGCGGCUAGAUCAGUCGGGUGUGAAAGCCCCGGGCUUAACCUGGGAACUGCAUCCGAUACUGUCUAGCUUGAGUACAGGAGAGGAGAGUGGAAUUCCACAUGUAGCGGUGAAAUGCGUAGAUAUGUGGAGGAACACCAAUGGCGAAGGCAGCUCUCUGGCCUGAUACUGACGCUGAGGUGCGAAAGCGUGGGGAGCAAACAGGAUUAGAUACCCCUGUAGUC